rnacentral:rRNA from 1 species
UACGUAGGGUGCAAGCGUUGUCCGGAAUUAUUGGGCGUAAAGAGCUCGUAGGCGGUUUGUCGCGUCUGCUGUGAAAACUCGGGGCUUAACUCCGGGCCUGCAGUGGGUACGGGCAGACUAGAGUGCGGUAGGGGAGACUGGAAUUCCUGGUGUAGCGGUGAAAUGCGCAGAUAUCAGGAGGAACACCAGCGGCGAAGGCGGCGCUCUGGGCCGGUACUGACACUGAGGAGCGAAAGCGUGGGUAGCAAACAGG